rnacentral:rRNA from 1 species
UACGUAGGGGGCAAGCGUUGUCCGGAAUCAUUGGGCGUAAAGCGCGUGUAGGCGGCCCGAUAAGUCCGCUGUGAAAGUCCAGGGCUCAACCCUGGAAUGCCGGUGGAUACUGCCGGGCUAGAGUCCGGAAGAGGCGAGUGGAAUUCCUGGUGUAGCGGUGAAAUGCGCAGAUAUCAGGAGGAACACCGAUGGCGAAGGCAGCUCGCUGGGACGGUACUGACGCUGAGACGCGAAAGCGUGGGGAGCAAACAGG